CCUCAGAGUGGCGAGUUUUCUUGUGCCAAUGAAACUGGUUCUCAUAGAUCGUAAAGGAUGCUUCUAUUAUGUUUAUUUGGCUUCAACAUUACCUAUAGCAAGAUGCAUUUUUUCCGCUUGUUUUUUUUUCCUGCAAGACCUUAUUCCUUGCACUCUUGAGUCUUUUGAGAAGGAGAAAAUUAUUGUUGGGAGGGAAAAAGACUGAUCAUGAGUUCCUGAAACAGAGUGCAACAGUGAAGAACAAGAGGCUUUUUUGUUGAUGAGUCGGCCUAAAUAUAUUUUAGAUGAUUGCCAAAAAGUUGUUAUUGAAGGAUUGGAGUCAAGCUUAGGAUCAGUUUAUCCUAUGGGUCUGUACUACAAGGUUGAGUGCGUCAACCGACAACGCAGAAAUCAGGUUUAUAGACGAGUGCUUUAUGCCGGGGUGGACGAGCUUCCGUUAGGCCAUUGAUUUCCCAAUGAAGGAGCUUUGAGGCAAGCACUGCAAUGAUGUAUAUUUGUAUAUGGCAUAAUCUGUAGGAACCCUCUCCUUGUUUCCUUUUGUUCUUGGUUUUGCUCCAGUUGAUUACUGCCCUAUGAGAUCCGCACAGACAAAAUUCAUGUUGAUUUGUUUAGUUGUGGCAUGUAUCGCAGCUACACCAGUCUGAUAAUUUAGUCCUCAAAUAAGGUAGUUUCCGUCUCCCCUUUACAUGUGAUGGACAUACGUGCUUGUUGCUUGCCAUUGCUGAAGCGAGGCCUCUUAAGUGUACUUUUGUGUUCUCCCUGAUUAUGUUAAUCAGGUCGUAUGUGUUCUGUUGGUCUAUUUUCAUUUGUCUACCUCUACAGAAUUUCAAAGAUGUAAUUUUCUAUCAUGUAGUUGCCUCUUUCUUCAUAUACUAACCCUCUCCUAAAUGAUAGAUGAGGCAGGUGACUUAUCUCAUGUAUUUUCUUUUCUGUAAAUUACAACAAGUCUAUUUUAGUCAACUUAAGGGUAUGUUGAAUAUGACUGUUAAUGAAGAUAGUCAUUCUUGUUAUUGAAUGUGCACAAUCUGAUUCAUUUUAAAGUAGUUCCUUAUCUUUAUGACUAGACUAGGCUGCUACUUUAGCGAGUGUUUCACUUCAACACAGAUUGAUGCAAGAAAGAAAGAAUUCUUUUGCAAUAAAGCAAGCAUUGAGUGCCCAAAGCAGGAGAGCUUGAAUUUUUUGCCGACGUAAAUUUAAGGUAACCUUCUCCAUGCAUAUUUUUUUUCAACCAUUUGUAUCUAAAUAUCAGUAAUCAUUUUGAACUAUAUGCUCAGGCCGACCUUUUUAUUUGAUGUUAUUGGUGUGGUGUGUGUAUAAUUGUUAACUUGGUUGCGGUUUUAAUAAUAGGUCGUCACACAUUACAGAAAACUAUUUUCCAUUCUGUGUCUCUAUGCUCAUUUUGUGCCCGGGUGCAGCUGUGAAGGAACACUACAGGUAGAGAAGAAAGAAAGGAAGAAUGAUGGUUACUUUUCUUUAUAAAAUUUGGUUCAGGAUGCCGUUUUACCUGUUGUAAUACCUUCAGCAUAGAAGCAGUAGUGGUCUGCUCCUCCAAAGAUCUAUAGCUUGUGGAUGCGGCGGAUGUGGCACAGGGAGCAGAUGAAUUGGGAAUAAGAGGACCCCCGGCGCGCGCACAAAUUGUUUCUACCUGACGGCUGAUAGUGAGGAUGCCUCUGACCUGUCCCGAGAAGGUUCGAGCCGAAGUACGACUUGUACAACGCAUCACCAAUUCGUCCGACAGUGUAAAAUGCGUUUGUGUUAGCUGAGUGAAAAUUAGAGAUCAGCCUGGUGGUACUUUAUUAUUUUAUUCUAUAGCUUGAUCUGCCAAAUGCUAUUAAGGAAAUGAAGUUUCUUCCUCGAUCAAGUUAUCAAUCCUUAUUGGGUGUAUGCUUCCUACUCAACACCUGAAUAAUC